CCUUCCUCAUGUCAAGGCACAUGUAGUAUACAUGUAGUUUGCCUUUUAGUACAGUGUUCCAAAUACAAAGGGUAUUAAAAUAGGAAAGGUCAAGAGUUCAGCUCUUCAUGUGAAGCUCGAGUAGAAAGUUACUUACAAACAUAAAAUGUGUGUUUACGGUACAGUCUAGUUGUUGGUUGUAUGUUUAACUUGACACUUCUCUUUCAGAUCUCCCAUCGUCUGAGUCAGUAGGAGGAUUUAGUUUUGGAUUAAAACAUUUUUAGUGUCAUUCCUGGUGUCGGGAAUUAUAGUGAGGAAGCAGCGUGGUUGCUUACAGUUAUCUUUGGAGUCGUCGAUGUUUACCAAAAUGAUUCUAAUUUCUGACAAGGAAUGUUGGGAGUUCUGAUAGGGUUGUCAUGGUGAUGUUGAGAAGGAUAUUUGUUUUAUGUAAGUGCAUUUGAUAUACACUUGGUGCAUUUUAUGCAAAUGUCAAAGCUUUUGAAAUUACUUAGUUGUUUGCUGAAAAGAAACUCUUCAGAUAUUUUAUGUUGAUAUUAAUGGUCAAGAUCAUUAAAUAGGUUAAAGGUGAUUAGUUAUUUAAAGGUGUGAAGAAAAAAAAGGUCACUUGAACAGUAUAAGAAGUUGAAGAAUUUAAAGGAACAAUGAUUCAUUGCAAGUAGCAAUUGUGGAUAAACUUAAUUUGAAAUGUUUCAAAUGAACAAAGUAUUGUUAAAUGUUCAGAAAGGCUUCUCAUUUAAGAGGGCCGGAAUGUGGAGUACAGGAUGACGUUUUGCUUGAAGCCGAUGCUUAUGAUGUCACAGGCGUCGCUUUGUAGAAAGUGAAUGGAUUAGGUCGCUUGAGGGCGUACUGGAUUUUGUGUGUUACUGAUUUUCCACGUCAUGGGAUAGUUGCCUCCCAGAGUUGCCUAAGUUUUCGUUUAAUUUUGUGAUACAAGCCCAAUGAUAUUGAACCUUGCCUGCUACAGUCUAUAACCAAA